rnacentral:rRNA from 1 species
AUUGAACGCUGGCGGCAGGCCUAACACAUGCAAGUCGAGCGGAGCGGCGGACGGGUGAGUAAUGCCUAGGAAUCUGCCUGGUAGUGGGGGAUAAGGUCCGGAAACGGGCGCUAAUACCGCAUACUAUCAGAUGAGCUUUGGUCGGCUUAGCUAGUUGGUAGGGUAAAGGCCUACCAAGGUGACGAUCCGUAACUGGGCUGGGAGGAUGAUCAGUCACAGUGGAAUUGAGACACGGUCCGGAGUCCUACGGGGUGCAACAGUGGGGAAUAUUGGGCAAUGGUGGAAAACCUGAUCCAGCCAUGCCGCGUGUGUGAAGAAGGUAUUCGGAUUGUAAAGCACUUUAAGUUGAGAGGCGUUACCCACAGAAUAAGCACCGGCUAACUUCGUGCGAGCAGCCGCGGUAAUAC